rnacentral:rRNA from 1 species
CCUACGGGCGGCAGCAGUGGGGAAUAUUGGACAAUGGGGGGAACCCUGAUCCAGCCAUGCCGCGUGUGUGAAGAAGGCCCUCGGGUUGUAAAGCACUUUCAGUGAGGAAGAACGCCUGGUGGUUAAUACCCAUCAGGAAAGACAUCACUCACAGAAGAAGCACCGGCUAACUCCGUGCCAGCAGCCGCGGUAAUACGGAGGGUGCGAGCGUUAAUCGGAAUUACUGGGCGUAAAGCGCGCGUAGGUGGCUUGAUAAGCCGGUUGUGAAAGCCCCGGGCUCAACCUGGGAACGGCAUCCGGAACUGUCAAGCUAGAGUGCAGGAGAGGAAGGUAGAAUUCCCGGUGUAGCGGUGAAAUGCGUAGAGAUCGGGAGGAAUACCAGUGGCGAAGGCGGCUUUCUGGUCUGACACUGACACUGAGGUGCGAAAGCGUGGGUAGCAAACAGGAUUAGAUACCCUGGUAGUC